UACGUAGGGGGCAAGCGUUGUCCGGAUUUAUUGGGCGUAAAGAGCUCGUAGGCGGUUGUUCACGUCGGAUGUGAAAGCUCAGGGCUCAACCAUGUGGUCUGCAGUCGAUACGGGCAGGCUAGAAUUCGGUAGGGGAGACUGGAAUUCCUGGUGGAGCGGUGAAAUGCGCAGAUAUCAGGAGGAACACCGGUGGCGAAGGCGGGUCUCUGGGCAACAACUGACGUGAGGAGCGAAAGCGUGGGGAGCGAACAGG
rnacentral:rRNA from 1 species